rnacentral:rRNA from 1 species
UGCCAGCAGCCGCGGUAAUACGGGGGGUGCAAGCGUUGUCCGGAAUUACUGGGCGUAAAGGGCGUGUAGGCGGCCUAUUAAGUCAGAUGUGAAAGCCCACGGCUUAACCGUGGAACUGCAUUUGAAACUGGUAGGCUUGAGUAUGAGAAGGGGUAGUGGAAUUCCCAGUGUAGCGGUGAAAUGCGUAGAUAUUGGGAAGAACACCAGUAGCGAAGGCGGCUACCUGGCUCAUUACUGACGCUAAUGCGCGAAAGCGCGGGGAGCAAACAGGAUUAGAUA